rnacentral:rRNA from 1 species
AGCAGCCGCGGUAAUUCCAGCUCCAAUAGCGUAUAUUAAAGUUGUUGCAGUUAAAAAGCUCGUAGUUGAAUUUCGGGGUUAGUAGGCUGGUCAUGCCUCUGUAUGUACUGGCCACACUGAUUCCUCCUUCCUGAUGAACCGUAAUGCCAUUAAUUUGGUGUUGCGGGGAAUUUGGACUGUUACUUUGAAAAAUUAGAGUGUUUAAAGCAGGCUAACGCUUGAAUACAUUAGCAUGGAAUAAUGAAAUAGGACGUUCGAUCUUAUUUUGUUGGUUUCUAAGAUUGACGUAAUGAUUAAUAGGGAUAGUUGGGGGCAUUAGUAUUCAAUUGUCAGAGGUGAAAUUCUUGGAUUUAUUGAAGACUAACUACUGCGAAAGCAUUUGCCAAGGAUGUUUUCAUUAAUCAAGAACGAAAGUUAGGGGAUCGAAGACGAUCAGAUACCGUCGUAGUCUUAACCAUAAACUAUGCCGACUAGGGAUCGGAUGAUGUUAAUUUUUAAUGUACUCA